rnacentral:rRNA from 1 species
UAGGGAAACUUACGCUAAUACCGCAUACGACCUUAGGGUGAAAGCGGAGGACCUUCGGGCUUCGCGCGGAUAGAUGAGCCGAUGUCGGAUUAGCUAGUUGGCGGGGUAAAGGCCCACCAAGGCGACGAUCCGUAGCUGGUCUGAGAGGAUGAUCAGCCACACUGGAACUGAGACACGGUCCAGACUCCUACGGGAGGCAGCAGUGGGGAAUAUUGGACAAUGGGCGCAAGCCUGAUCCAGCCAUGCCGCGUGGGUGAAGAAGGCCUUCGGGUUGUAAAGCCCUUUUGUUGGGAAAGAAAAGCAGCCGGUUAAUACCCGGUUGUUCUGACGGUACCCAAAGAAUAAGCACCGGCUAACUUCGUGCCAGCAGCCGCGGUAAUACGAAGGGUGCAAGCGUUACUCGGAAUUACUGGGCGUAAAGCGUGCGUAGGUGGUUGUU